AUUACUGACUUGUAUAGUUGUAUUAUGUAUAUUUUGGUUUGUUGUUUUUAAUUAGGUUCCUUCACUGAUAAAAAAAAAUCUGCUGAUUGAUUGAUUUUCGAAACAACGGUGCAAAAAUAGGAGUGUUUUGAUAACGUGAAAAUAAACCAUUAAAAAUUGGAAGCAGUUCGGCUGAAUUGGCUAAACUCGAUCCUGAUUUCACCCAAUUCUUAAAUAGGUAGAAGACCCGAUUCUGACUGAGUUUUGGCUAAUUCCCUACCGGUUUGUAUCGGAAUCAGAUUGGAAUCCAUGAAAGCUACUCCGGUGCCCGAUUCCGAGUUUUAUGACCUUGUAGAAAACUUAUUAUUAACGUAUCAGUUUAUAAAAUGUCCUAGACGGACUGCUAAUGCAUUUCUUCCAUUACAGCAAAGCUUCUCCUUGGGGAUGCACUAAAAGAAGGCACUCCUUUAUCUGUCAACCCACUAGUAAUAUGGGCAUGGGCUGGACUUCUUAUUAAUGCCAUCAACAGCAUACCUGCAGGGGAGCUUGAUGGGGGACGCAUUUCUUUUGCUCUAUGGGGAAGAAAGGCCGCAUCUCGUGUCACAGCUGCCUCCAUUGCUUUGCUGGGACUAGCCUCACUGUUUAAUGAUGUGGCCUUAUAUUGGCUUGUUCUGAUAUUCUUCUUGCAGAGAGGGCCAAUUGCUCCGCUUUCUGAAGAGAUCACUGAUCCUGAUAACAACUACAUUGCUCUUGGCAUUUCAGUUUUGCUCUUGGGACUGUUUGUAUGUCUGCCAUACCCAUUUCCUUUCACAAGUGAAGCCACUAUGAAUUUCUAGUAGUAGAGUCCAUUUAUACAACCCUUCUGACCUUUUUAUGGUAUUAUAGAGCCAGUGCUACCAUGAAGUCUCCAAGGAAAUGGAUCAGGUUUUCUUGGUCUUAUGGUAAUUAACUGAGUUAAUAUAUUGUAUGUAACAUGUAUAAAUCUUCAAGAGAGGUCACCAUUUUUCCCCUCCUUUGGCUGAUUUCAUGAAAUAAAGUUUAUUGCA